rnacentral:rRNA from 1 species
AUGGCUGGAUCGAUGGGGUUCCGGAUCCAUGUCGGGCGACCACGCCUCCGGAUACUGUGGCCUCGUUCGGGCUCCUCGGUUCCUCGGGGGUCCCCGUCCGGUCGAGCUCUUCCUGCCCAGAAUCCUGUCUGCGGAAGGACGGGGUCGGCGCGCGACGCUGUGGAGAUCAGCUCCGACGAGGAGGACUCUCGCCCCACUCCCGUGGCAAGGAAGUUGCCUUGCGAUGAUGCUGAGUCGAAGAAGGGCGAGUCGGACGGCGCCGGUGUUGCCACGGAUGACGACGACUGCGUGGUUCUAGACGGCGACCCUGAUGGGGCGGUUGCCGCUGUGGAACAGAAGGGGGCUGCGGGGAACGAUGCCAGCUCCGAUGAACUGCAGAUAGUUGCAGAGAAAGGGCAGAUAGCAUGCAGAGAUUUCCCUCACUCGCGCCAUUUAUGUUCUAACUUGCCCUUCGGCACUACUUCUCAUGAGAAACAUUGUACCAUGUGCUACUGUUUUGUAUGUGAUGUCCAUGCUCCGUGCGAUUAUUGGGGUAAAGGUCUCUCCAUUGAUGAUCAUUGUCAUGCUACUGAUAAGGAAACUAAGUGGAAAACACUGAGGCUUGCGUUCAAGUGCAAAGGGCUUCCAGCAUCUCAUCCAGAAAAGGAAAAUACCGUAUACCCAGCAAUGGCGUCAGUCGGCCGCUUUUCUCUUGGCAAUCGGAGUCCUCUUCAAAAUGUUGUGAACCAAAACAGGCAAAUACAUGCUUCAGUUAGAACCGCGCCGAAUGUAGCCCCAACUGUCAGUGCACGAAGAGCAUUCCCUGUGACAAGAGCUGAAGGUAGCACAAGCAAUGCCCACACUUCUCAAGUUACUUAUCCUGUAGCGACAACUGUCAGUGCACCAAGAGCAAUCCCUGCGACGAGAGCUGAAGGUAGCACAAGCAAUGCUCACACUUCUCAAGCUUCUCACGCUGUAGCUCCAACCGUUGGUGCACCAAGAGCGUACCAUGCACCAAGAGCUGAAGGUAGUACAAGCAAUGCUCACAAUUCUCAAGUUACUUAUCCUGUAGCUCCAACUGUUAGUGUACCAAGGCCACACCUUGCGGCAAGAUCUGGAAGAGGUUCAAACAACGCUCACACUUCUCAAGUUACUUAUCCUGUAGCUGUAGCUGUAGCUCCAACUGUCAGUGCACCAAGACCACAGCCUGUGGCAAGAACUGGAAGAGGUUUAAACAACGCUCAAAAUGCACAAAUUACUCACCCUGUACAGCCAACUGUCAGUGCACCAAGAGCUUACCCUGCGGCAAUAGCUGAAAGAGGCAAUGCUCAAACCGCUCAACUUACUUACCCGGCCACUGCCAGCCACCACCUGCCGGAGCCAGAGCCGGACCAGUAUGAAGAGUACUGGGAGGACACACCAGAGGAAUAUGCGUCAGAGGGGUCCACGGUGUAUGUCGGAAACCUACCCUACCACAUUGACGAAGAGUCCCUCGCACUGAACUUCGAGCAUGCCGGAGUCGUCGUGUUCUCUGAGGUCAUUUACGAUGACAAAACAGGCCAGAGCCGUGGAUUUGGGUAUGUCACCAUGAGUACUGUUCAGGAGGCUGAGAAGGCUGUUAGAAUGUACCAUGGAUACGCGAUAUAUGGCAGUGUCAGACCUCUGACGGUAUAUAUCACAGCUCCCCGUCAAUCCGGGUCUCCUUUCGAAAUCUUCGUGUGCAAUCUGCCGUGGCAAGUGGACGACUCGUGGUUGGAGAAGCUGUUCAGCGCGCACGGCGAAGUGGUUGAUGCUAGAGUAGUCUACUAUGAGCGCAGAGGAGGGACCAGGCGUUCAAGGGGUUUUGGUUUUGUCACAAUGGCGACGGAGGAGCAAUCGUACUACGCGAUCAAUUCUCUAAACAAGCAGGUUCUGGAGGGACGUACCCUGCGAGUGAAGGUUUCGAGGGAGAGUCCACAACAAGGCUAUUGA